GAUGAACGCUAGCGGCAGGCUUAAUACAUGCAAGGCGAAGGGGCAGCAAUGUCACUGUCGUACGGGUGCGUAACGCGUAUGCAACCUACCUAUCACUGGGGGAUAGCCCGGGGAAAACCCGGAUUAAUACCGCAUAACACAGGGGCUCCUCAUGGAGAUAUUUGUUAAAGAUUUAUCGGUGGUAGAUGGGCAUGCGUUCG
rnacentral:rRNA from 1 species